rnacentral:rRNA from 1 species
UACGGAAGGCAGCAGUGGGGAAUAUUGCACAAUGGGCGAAAGCCUGAUGCAGCUAUGCCGCGUGUAUGAAGAAGGCCUUAGGGUUGUAAAGUACUUUCAUCGGGGAGGAAAAAACAAAACUAAUAAUUUUAUUUCUUGACGUUACCCGAAAAAGAAGCACCGGCUAACUCCGUGCCAGCAGCCGCGGUAAUACGGAGGGUGCGAGCGUUAAUCGGAAUUACUGGGCGUAAAGGGCACGCAGGCGGUUAAUUAAGUUGGAUGUGAAAUCCCUGGGCUUAACCUGGGAAUGGCAUUCAAGACUGGUUAGCUAGAGUCUUGUAGAGGGGGGUUAGAAUUCCAUGUGUAGCGGUGAAAUGCGUAGAGAUGUGGAGGAAUACCGGUGGCGAAGGCGGCCCCUGGACAAAGACUGACGCUCAUGUGCGAAAGCGUGGGGAGCAAACGAGGAUUAGACUACC